AUCAGGAAGAUGAAGCUCU
rnacentral:snRNA from 1 species